rnacentral:rRNA from 1 species
UACAGAGGGAGCUAGCGUUGUUCGGAAUUACUGGGCGUAAAGCGCGCGCAGGCGGCCAUUUAAGUCAGAUGUGAAAGCCCGGGGCUUAACCUCGGAACUGCAUUUGAAACUGAGUGGCUAGAGUAUGGUAGGGGAGAGGGGAAUUCCUAGUGUAGCGGUGAAAUGCGUAGAGAUUAGGAGGAACACCAGUGGCGAAGGCGCCUCUCUGGGCCAUUACUGACGCUGAGGCGCGAAAGCGUGGGGAGCAAACAGG